AUACAUGGUGAUGUCCCAGAGGAUUUACUCAAUUUCCCAGAAAUGCUUCCACUGCUAUGGAGUGGAAGGUUUCAAAAGACCACACUUUUAAUCUGAAAUUCUUACUAAGUCACAGUGCAUUCACAACUAUGAGAAGUUGGAUGGGCUUCUCUAAAUCAGACAAAAAGUACUUUCCAGAAAUUGCCUGUUCAGAACAAUAAACUCUUGGGUUGUUACAAGCUUAAUCUUGAACAGAGCCCUCACAUCCCAUAUGGUGAAAACAGGAGGUUGGAAUGGGAUUGGGAAGAGUUGGGCAUUUCCUUAUGAAGGUUUGGAGAGAAAAGGGGGGAUGGGAGGUGACUACCAUUUGAAAGGGCUUUCAGCCAAUUUGGAGGAAAUCUCUUCUGGAACUCCAGGGUCAAAUUGGUUUCAGGCUAGAAUUGAUUGACAUGAAUCCCUGAAGGAGAGAGGACUAGCUUUGGAAAGAUAGGGUAGGGAAGUGUGAGGAAACUAUUUGAUUUUACACGCCUAGAUUGUUUCAUUUGUUCAUUGACAUUCUGACUACUGGAUCUUUUCAUUUGCUUUGCAAGGAAGACUUUAGAGGACUCUGGCCUGGGCCUUGAGAAGAAUUCUAUUAAAAGAUUCUCAGCCUCCUGUGUGGCCAGGAUCUGCCCAGGAUAAAGAGGCUAUUCCUCCUUGCUGGAGAUAAUCUUGAGACAACCUUGCAUUUCCAGUUUCCCUCCUUGGGCAGCCUAACUAUGAGGGAGGGAAACAUGGCUUGCAAUAAAUUAGCAUUGUGUCUUCAUUCAGGAAUUGAGGCUUCCAGCCUCAUAUACCUCCUUUUGGGCUUUGUGAUAUUCUUGCCCAAGAAGUACCAUUUCUACAGAAAUACAACUGACUAAUCUUCUAGCAGGGUUCUUUUUGAAAAACCCCAUGCACCUUAACCCACAGCAGGUCCUUGGUGAUUUUUGCCCAGACAACCAGAAGGCUAUUUGCUUACUGCCCACUUACAAUGACCAGAUCAUAGGAAAUUGAAAACAGUGUCAGACUAUUUAGUCCUAAUCUGUCCCAGAUUAAGAGAAUCCAUGAUUUUCAGGGGGAGGGAGCCCUGCAAUGCCUUGACCCCUGCCCAGAUACUUCUUACAUAAACCAAAGAAAAAUGACAAGAGUGUACAUCUAACCAGACAGAAGUAGAAACAAAGUAUAGAAAAACCUCCUCUUUGGAAUCAGCUCCCUUAAUGUGGUCCCCCUUCUCUUGGACCUGCCCAACCUUUCACAACGUCUUGAAGGUAGGACUUCUAUAUCCAGCAAAGGAAGGGAUAGUAGUAAAUUUACAUGGCUUGGAAUUUUCUUUCUGGAGCCACAGAGGGAUGAAUCCUUUGGAGCUCUAAAAGCAACCAGUAUCACUGAGCUGUGAGAUACCUAUAUCUCCAUUUUCUAAUAGGAAGCACUUGGACUUAAAAUUGCUAAGAUAUUUUUUGCAGUUGCUAUUUCUGUGCAUCUUGAAUCUAUCUGACACAAUCAAAUGACAGUAUUGUUAACUCUCACACCAUUAAGAAAAUUUCUUAUUUUGUAGGCAUUCACUGUGAGAGGUAAAAUUGCUGCUUUGGCAGGUAUGAUUCCAGUUUGCCAAACGGCUUUUCUUCCUUCCACAACCUCUUUUUCCCCUAGCCCAGGGUGAAACAAGUGGGUCAUCUCCAACCUUGAUUUUUAUUUGGAUUCAGCAUUUUGGGUUUGGAAGGUUACAAGAAGGAACCAUAAAUGGCCAUAUUCCUAGAUUUUUAUUUAUCUGACAAAAUACACAACUUAAAAGCCAGGAAAACUAAGGUUCAUUACAGGGAGAUGAACUUUUUCUAAUUGGAGGACAAAUUGUGGAAGGUGGGGUCUGAUCUUUGCUUCACCACUUGAAGAGACUGUCAUCCUUCACCUGAGGUUCCAUUUCUAGCUUUUAUGUGACCUCUCUUGAACAAAGUCAUUUGGGAACCCCCAGAAAUGACCCCUUUACAUUGUAGGACCAUAAGCAAAACACUGGUUGUGUAUAGUCACUGAUCCCCAAGGACUUGCAGUUUUUUAUUUCUGCUGGUGUGUCUUGGGAUCAGCUUAUAACUCCUACUCUUACUUAGUCAGUGACCAGUCCAGUCUGGUCUGGACCAGGCCUGACAAACUUCUGCUCACUUGCAUCAUUUUCAUUCUGAGCCAGUAGGACUUUGGGUAGACUUUAAAGCCCAAGAAUUGGUACUCGCUUUGGCUAGUGACAUUUGAUUUUUGUCUCCAUCUUGAUUUCUGACAUCAUUGGCCAAGUCACAUUAACUUUUUUUGAUCACUGAGAAAAACAGUCGAACAAGGCAUUACAGAGGGUGGUUAAGGUAGAGGGUGGGGGGCAGGAAUGCUUAUGUAGGAUAGAAAGAAUGUGGGGGUAGCUGUUUGGUUAUGGUGAUCCAGUCCUUUGGAACCUUACAAGGCUCCUGUGGGCAUGUCAAUGUUACCAUUACAGCCUCUACGACCCACCCACCUUUGAAAAGUCAGUACAAGUAGACCACAGUUUAAAGUAGUUAGUAUAAUUCUACUAAGGUUUAAUCAUUAUACUUGUUCACUUCCUGGUGCAUAUUUCCUAAAUAUGCUUGGGGUGUGGGGUGGGGGGUUGAGUUUUCACUGUUCCAUUGCGUGUCAUCUUAUAUUUUUCUCCAUCCUGUGACUUUGGCAUCUUACUCGACUUUCUAUUUUCUUUUCCCUUGGCUUAUUGCAGUAGUCUGCUGGUGCAGGUAGAGAGCUCAGUGCACCUAUUCCCCUGUUACUGCUAAUUAUCUUGAAUAUUGUCAGAGGUUAUUUUGAUGUUCUAAGAAUAUAAAGUCAUUUUUUACAAAAUCAUCUUUUCCAAGUUAAAAGCAAAAUAAAAAAAUCCCCUGUGCUAGGGUGCCCAUUUCAGCUUUUGACAUUGCCCCUGUACUUUUAUAGAUGCUCUUUUUGUCCGUGUUGGUAGUAACUAAUGACUAGUGAAUUUUCAUGUAAAUGAAGCAAAAUAAAUAUUUCAGAUUUUAUUAAUCUCUCAUAACCCAGCCAAAUCUGAUGACUUCAUUUUAAUUGCUUCCCAGAAAGCACUUCCCCUCCUACCUUCUAUUCUAUUCUAUUCUAUUCUAUUCUAUUCUAUUCUAUUCUAUUCUAUUCUAUUCUGUUCUAUUCUGUUCUAUUCUGUUUUUAGAAUAACACACUAGGUAAAGAAACUUUAACUGCAAGGAGUCAGUGACUUUUAGUGCUCCCUGAUAAAUGAUGUUAUUGACAAAAGUAAAAAAUUAUUUCAUUGUUUUUUUCCUGUAUUACUAUCUCCUCUCCUGUGCUUUUGACAGUGUGUUUAGUGGAUGGAUAAUAUGUAUUUCUCUUUCCCACUCCCAGAUUCCAAAUUCCCUGCCUUUUUGGCCCACCUCACCACAAAAGCUCCAUAGUUUAUUAAUGUAAGUUUGAAUGGAUGCUUCUUUGGGGAAACUUCAGGAGUUAAUGGAAGAGUUUCAGAAAGGAAUGAGAAUGCCUCAGGAGUUGUUCUGUGAUGGAAAUUGGUCUGUUGUUCUGUUAAUGCUGAUGGAAAGAAACUUACAACGCUUAAUAAAAAUCUAUUCUUUUAG
rnacentral:lncRNA from 10 species